GUGGAAAGAUUACUGUAUAUAAAUCCUAUUAAAUUAGCUUGCAUGUGUGAACAAAAAAUUCAUGAAUCAGAUGGAAAAAGAAUCACCAGUUUUUGCAAAGAAAAACUUUGUUCACAAAGGAGUUUCAAUUCUAUGAACAUGAUUAGUAAGACUGGAAGUGGAAAAGUGUUGUAAAUACUGAACAGUAAACUAUUUUGAAAUGCAUAAAUGCAGAAUUUUACAAUGAAUUUUUUUCUGAAUAUUUUAUUGAAUAAAUUCCUAUCUUUGGUUAGAUAAAUAAUUAAGUAAAAAGUCAUAUAUGUGUGUGUGUGUGUGUGUGUGUGUGUGUGUGUGUGUGUGUGUGUGUGUGUGUGUGUGUGUGUGUGUGUGUGUGUGUGUGUGUGUGUGUGUGUGUUGACAGUAAAAUAAUACUAAUUACAUACAGUGAAACUACAUGAAUGAACACAAUGUACUGACAAAAUCAUUUACAUGAGUCAUCAUGUACAGCUGCCCAGCAUUCAUUUAUCAGUAUGUCAAGGCCUAGUUACCAACAGCACAUAUGAGCCACAAAGACAUUAAUAUUUAUAGUACUUAUGAUACUUAAGAGAUUUAUAUGUAAAUUAUGACUAAGUACUACAACUGAUAUAAUAUCUAUUAAUAAAACGCAAGAAUUUUCCAUGAAUAUGCCAUACAUAUAAAAAUUAUGAAUAUGUACUAAAUUUAAAAUGGUUGAAGUAUACCUUUGCAAAUGCAUAAAUGUAAAUGGAAGAUUAUCUUAAGCCUAUUGAUAAUUUAAUGAAAGUUUGUUUAGGAAUAAGAAGCUAGUUCAUCUUACAGUUUGUGGUAUACACAAUACAUUUUUGCAUUGUUUUUGUCUGAAAAGUUUCAGAAUAGUUCUUAAUUACAGGCAUUGUUCAUCUCACUUCAAUAUAAUAUUAAACAAUUUAAUGUAAUCUCAAUUUAUGACCUUAAAAAGAAGAUUCUCUCUCUCUCACUCUCUCUCUCUCUCUCUCUCUCUCUCUCUCUCUCUCUCUCUCUCUCUCUCUCUCUCUCUCUCUCAUCAUUCAAAUUACUCCUCUAUUGUUUUAAUUUCCUGCUUUUCUAUUUUUUUUAAUCUAUCCUCGACAGAAAAAGAUUCUUAAAGAACCUUAUAUCUGCCAAAACAGGUUCUGCUAUGGCUGCUCUACUGAUCUUCUGGCCUUCCUUGCUGAGUCUUGGUCAUCCUCUGUUAAGGAUUUAGAACACUUCGUCCAAUAUGACCUAUGCUUUUGACAACUGUACAAAAAUCCAGCACCACGUAUAGAGAAAAAAAAUGUAAGCAUAUAUCUGAAUCCUUGAAGCAUCUGCAGCACCCAGCACUGCCCUGUAAACACCAUCAGAACGUGCCAGGGCUGCCAUUCCCGGGGCACCACCAGCAGCAGGGCGGCCACCGUCAACACGUGUGGCGGGGAAGGAAAGCAUCUGUCAGGGAAGUCAAAUUGCCGCGCCCCCGCCUCGCCCCUCACUGUCUCACCUCGCCCUCCUCACACCCGCACCACCCACGCCCACAGGCAUGCUAAACAUACGUCACGAUUCUAAAUAUGCGUCUCUACUCACAUAAAACGAGGGACUGUCCUUAACUUACCCAUAGCCUGGAGAAAAAGGCCCACCGUGUCAUUCUUGCCUGCUUUGUUUUCACUCG